CUCACCUCUAACCUGUGCUUCUGCCUUCUUUUGGCCUCACUUUAAGUUUCCUCCCAUGCCUAAGUGGAACCAUCCCCCUUUGCCCAAGUUUCCACUUCCCCCAUUCAAAGGCUUCCACCACCAUUAUCCAAUAAUCCCUCCCAUCUACAAGAAACCUCUUCCGCCACCGUCCCCGGUGUACAAGCCCCCUCCAGUUCCCGUAAACCCACCUGUUCCAAUCUAUAAACCUCCACCAGUUCCAGUCUAUAAACCUCCUCCAGUUCCAGUAAAACCACUUCCUCCACCUGUUCCGAUCUACAAACCUCCACCAGUUGAAAAACCACAUCCUCCACCUGUUCCAAUCUACAAACCUCCACCAGUUGAAAAACCACAUCCUCCACCUGUUCCAAUCUACAAACCUCCACCAGUUGAAAAACCACAUCCUCCACCUGUUCCAGUUUAUAAACCUCCACCAGUUGAAAAACCACAUCCUCCACCUGUUCCAGUCUAUAAACCUCCACCAGUUCCAGUAUAUAAGAAACCAUGUCCUCCACCAGUUCCAGUCUAUAAAUCUCCUCCGGUUCCAGUAUACAAGAAACCGCAUCCUCCUCCAGUUCCAGUCUAUAAGAAACCACAUCCACCUCCAGUUCCAGUAUACAAGAAACCAUGUCCUCCCCCAGUUCCAGUCUAUAAAUCUCCUCCAGUUCCGGAACCACAUCCUCCGCCAGUUCCAGUCCAUAAGCCUCCUCCAGUUCCGGUAUACAAGAAACGAGUCCCUCCUCCGGUUCCAAUCUACAAGCCCCCUCCAGUUCCUGUAUACAACAAACCACUACCUCCCCGGGUUCCAGUGUAUACGAAGCCACUUCCACCACCUGUUCCAACCUACAAUCCAAAACCCCUCCCUCCCAUUCCUUACAAGCCACUCCCUCCACUUCCCAAGAUCCCUCCAUUCCCUAAGAAGCCAUGCCCUCCCCUUCCUAAGCUACCUCCUCUUCCCAAGAUUCCUCCCAAGUAUUUCCACCACCACCCUCCUCUUCCUAAGCUGCCUCCUCUCCCUAAGAUUCCUCCCAAGUAUUUCCACCACCACCCCAAGUUCGGAAAAUGGCCUCCUUUGCCACCCUUUGCUCCCCAUCAUCCUUAAGCUAUCUUGCAUUGUUUUACGCAUUUAAUGAAGGUGGUUAGUGUGAACAAGUUCCCCAGCAGUACCUCAUGCAAUAAAUGUAGCAACAAAAGAAG
rnacentral:lncRNA from 1 species